rnacentral:lncRNA from 1 species
AAAGUUUCCAUUAGGAACUAAUGAAACCUUGAAAGAGCUUGGAUGGGUCUAUUGUUCUCUGGCUCUACAACUUUUUUCCCUUACAGCAGGAACAGGGUGAGUUUUCCACUGAGCUUUGUUUAGCGUUUCUGACCCUGCCACGUGUUUUCAGCCAUGCCAGAGGAGCACAUCACUGGGAAGAGUUCAAUUUCUUCCACAAUAUGAUUUUAGUCAAAUCUGGAGGCACUGGGCUGCUCAUGGGACAAGAAGAUGGCAAAUCAAUACCAGAAGCUGCACUUGAGGAGCUGCCUCACCUCCUGCCAGCCACUGCAUCUAUUUCACGUAUUUUUUCCAUCUCCUUGUCUGUAAAAUGUGCAAAGUGUUGCUAACUGCACUUCAAGAAUCUUGGCUAAAAACUGUUAAGCACAGUGUUUAUCUGCAAUGGCAAGGCAAGGUGCUCAGUGAAUGGUAAUGAAAGGUUUCUAGUCCUAAAAAUAGCCUUUCCUAGGCCGAGGAAAGAAAAAGAAAGAAAAUGCCCUGUGAGAUUUUUCUGGCAUUAAAGCAGUCAAAUUGUCUUUUUAAAUAGUGUGAAAAUUGACAGAUUAUAAAAAAUAGAGAGAACAAUCACUGGAGAGUGUACGAUAAUCUGGCAAUAUGGAAAUUACAAAUUUUAAUAUUUCCCUAGAGCCAAUGAAAUAUGCAAAGGAACAACUGCAUAAUGCAGCAGGCUCUGUGUAACCCCGAGGUGGCUUGAGUUAGCAAGAUAUUCUAUCCCAGUUGGUUUUAUUUUUCUUGGUUAAUAACAAAUCCACCAAAUUACUUCAAUGGUGAAGGACAAAAAAAAUCCUCUCUGAAGUUCAAUUGUUGCACAAAGCUGCUCCAUUAAAUAUCCAGAUUUAAUGAUGCUCUGGUAGUUCCUGAUCUUGCUGAAUUCUUUACUGCAACAUGAGAAGUCAGUUGUUCUAAAUUGGUGCAGCUGCC